rnacentral:lncRNA from 1 species
AAGAGGACUGCGAGCCCUCCAUGUAGGUGUCCAUCCGCUUCCCGACAUCGGGGUGGAACCCAGCCUGAAGGCCCUCUGGGUGGUCCCGAGUAAGCCCGCCACACUUUCCCGGACUCCUGGCUGCUGUGAACAGAUCCAAAAGUGCAGGGGCACAGGCAGCGUCGUGCUUCUGGGAAAGGGGUGCGUUAUUUUAUGGCCCAAGCAAAGGAGCGUAUGCCCAGCGCCUCUACGCUGGGACUGGGAUACGUCAAUCAAAUCCGCUUGCUCCUCCUCCCCCAGGAGAUGGGCGGGUCUUUCCAUCUUUUCAGCCUAGAACUGUCUACGUCCAGCUGUGGCUUUGCACUCAGCUGCCACUCAGCCCGUUGGAGUUGAAAGGUCAAAUGUCAUCAGGAAUUAGCAGCCCGGCUUACCAGCAGCUCUUCUGUCUUCGGAGAAUACAGGGCCGCUGUCAGAGGGCUUAGACAGGGACUAGGGAGGAAAUUCCCUCUGCGCCAACGGAGGAAGCUCACCCAUCCUGGAGGGAAAAUGGCAGGAUCCGCCCCAGGAACUUUAUAGCUGGUGGUUAAGAUCCCCAUGCAAACAAGCAGGAGGGAGAAUGAGGGAGGUUGUCAGGAAGAGAGAAGGAAAGCCGGGCAGAGGGUGGUGAGUGGGAAGGAGCCCCAAGCCAGGCUCAGGAGGGCCAGGGCAUUGAGAGAUCCGUCUGCAAGCUGGAUUCCGCAGGGCAUUUGGUCUUGCAGGUACGCGCAGAAAAACCUUCAUCCGUAUAUUUAACAGUGUUGGACCGAGUAAAAAAGGAUUGCUUUUUUCCUGGCAGCAUCCCAUGUCUGAGCCCAACUCCUCUAAUCAAGCAAUUCUGGUGGGACCCACCAUUCACAGCACCCUGCCCCUGUCCGCAGGAGGUGGGCACGUGACCCAGGCCAAUCAGCGAGCCAAUAGAGAGCCCCCUUGCCCUGGUGGCGCUGUGGGGAGGAGUCUCCAGCCUGCUCCCCGGCCCUACGCUGGAAGGUGGUGUUGCUGGCAGCCCUUCUCCAAUCCGCAUUGAGAACGCACGUGCAAUGAUAGAACUGGACGACCCAGUUUGAGGGAGCCCUGGGGUCCUGGAUACACUUGUGCCCAGUGCACCUCAUCCUUUCCUGGUGUGCCUUAAUUUGGUCUCUGCAGGCUUUCGGUUGUACUUGAAGACCUCACAGAACACCAGCUUGAUGGGGUCCUUGCGGAAAGGGUCCCGAAACAUGGCAGCAGGGACAAGAUACAGAGCCACAGCAAUACCAGAUCCAAGCCGCAUCUGCGACCCACACCACAGUUCACAGCAAUGCCAGAUCCUUAACCCUCUGAGCAGGGCCAGGGAUGAAACCUGUGUCCUCAUGGAUGUUAGUUGGGUUUGUUAACCACUGAGCCACUCCCCUUUUUUUUUCUUUUUUUUUUUCUUUUUUGGCGACCCCAACGCAUAAUGGAGUUUCCAGGCCAGGAAUCAGAUCCAAGCUGCAAUUACAACCUACGCCACAGUUGCAGCAAUACCAGAUCCUUUAACCCUCUGCACCAGGCCCGGGAUCAAACCUGCAUCUGGGUGCUGCAGUGACGCCACUGAUGCACCACAGUAGGAACUCCUGUAAUGUGUAUUUUAACUCAAAAAAUAAAACAACAAUAUUUUAAAAA